rnacentral:rRNA from 1 species
GUUUCAGACGGGUCGUUUAAAGCCAUUAUGCCAGCAUCCUAAGCGCGUUCGUGUCCGAAGACCGACCAUAAAGGCACGCUGCGUUCCUCAGUCCCGUCCGAUGCAUGUGAAAGAGGGCUAUAACACAUCCGAGGAUGCCACGUUCCCUCCAACUUUUUCCACCGGUCGAAACUGAUGCUGGCCUGUAGUCUGAGGAAUACACCGGCAGAACCGGCUGAACCUCAAACCACAUGACUGACUUCAAUCGUUUCCCUUUCAACAAUUUCACGUACUGUUUAACUCUCUUUCCAAAGUGCUUUUCAUCUUUCCCUCACGGUACUUGUUCGCUAUCGGUCUCUCGCCAAUAUUUAGCUUUAGAUGGAAUUUACCACCCAUUUUGAGCUGCAUUCCCAAACAACUCGACUCUUCGAGAGCGCAUCGCAGAGCAUAGAUGAUCUGUGUCAAGGACGGGAUUCUCACCCUCUAUGACGCCCUAUUCCAAGGGACUUGUACACAGGCCUACGCGGAAAACGCUUCUCUAGACUACAACUCGGACAAUCUUAGACUGCCAGAUUUUAAAUUUGAGCUCAUCCCGCUUCACUCGCCGUUACUAGGGGAAUCCUUGUUAGUUUCCUUUUCCUCCGAAGGG